UACAGAGGUCCCGAGCGUUGUUCGGAUUCACUGGGCGUAAAGGGUGCGUAGGUGGUGAGGAAAGUCGGAUGUGAAAUCUCCGGGCUUAACCCGGAAAUGGCAUUGGAAACUACCUUGCUAGAGGUUUUGAGGGGGACUGGAAUUCUCGGUGUAGCAGUGAAAUGCGUAGAUAUCGAGAGGAACACCGGUGGCGAAGGCGAGUCCCUGGACAACACCUGACACUGAGGCACGAAAGCUAGGGGAGCAAACAGG
rnacentral:rRNA from 1 species